UUUUUAGUAAUAGCUCGUCCACAGACGAAGAGAAAAGCUAAAGUGGCUCGUAACACAGAUCGAAGCCGAUACGUAACAAAGCAGUUAUAUUUUAAUUAGUCAUGGCAUCAUCCAUUGAGAGUUAUAUUAACAAAAUGGUUUCAGUUGUAACAGCUGAUGGAAGAAUUAUAGUGGGAACAUUGAAAGGAUUUGACCAGACAAUAAAUCUAGUGUUAGAUGAAAGUCAUGAGAGGGUAUAUAGUGCUGGACAAGGUGUAGAACAAGUUAUAUUAG